GAAAUGAAAGCGUAACUUAUUUCAAAACAAAAUACAUUAGGACUAUAAUGUGGAAUAUGAAUAAACAGCAUAAGCUACAAUGAUGAAAAUGGAGAAAUACACUACUCUGAAGAAAACUGAUAGCAAAGUGUUUUUGAAUAUAUAUAUGUAAACUGUUGAAUCCUGAUUUCAACUGUCUAAUAAUGUGAGCAUAAGAAAGUAAGCUUCCCUUUGUAGUUUCUUAUGUCUUAGGGAGGAUCUCUGGUUUUGUAAAAGAUGUAAUCUAACUCUGUCUUAAUUCUUGUUCCUUCUCUUACCAGGUCUUUUGUCCAAGAGGGAAUCGCCUUUUCUUUGAAGCCAUCCAGUGAUUGGAGUAUGUAUUAAAACGGUAGAAAUUUAUUUUGUGAGUAACUUUACUAAAUAGAGCAUGAUAAUAAAAAUAAUAUUUAUAAUUUCAGAAGUUGCAAUAAAUUAAUCCUAUUUUUAAUAAGUAAAUUAUAUGGGUGAGAUGGAUGUUAUGUCUUACUCCAGUGUUGUUUUGAUCAAAUCUCAAGGGGUGAUUAAAUCUACUGAAAUUCAUCAAAUUUAUCAUUUGUCUGAAAGAUGACCUUUUCUAAACUACCGAGUGCACUUAAUCCAUUAUACGAAUGUACACCAUUCCGGGAGGAGAGGAUUUCCAUUUUCCUAAUAUUACCCUUCUUGCAAUCAAUGCUGUUCUCAAGAGGAUUUUUGUUUCAUGGACUAGAUGUUCUUUGUAAAUUCUCAACAUGACCUAAUAUAAAAAUCAAUGCAUCUUGAGGUAAGUUCAUUUCUAUUAUUAGAUCUCACUGUAGCUUCAUGCUAACGUGUUUUGAAAUAUAAGCAGAGCCCUACCACAGGGCACGGCUUUUUCCUGGUAAUGCAUUAAACUUCAUUAUGGUAAAAACCAUUAUAGUAACAAUAAAACACACCACAGAUUUUUAAAAAGUCUCUCAGCUCCAGACGAUUGCCAACAAUGUUUUUGCUUUAAUGUUCUCAUUACAAUAUUAGUCUUAAUUAAGUUAAAAAGUGCUUUUCUCCAGGUGAUGUCUCUGUGAUCUUCCCUUAUGAUAACAGAACGCAGAUUUUCUGGCUCAGCAAGGACCAAAGGAAGUUCUUUCUGUGACACUCAGGUUUAAAGUAAGGAGGAAGAUCUCCACGGCUGUCUCAGGAGGAUGAGCAUGAAACUUGAGGACUACAGCCCAUCCAGUGAGAGACCUAGAUGCUACAAGACCUUCAGAAGCUAUCUGAGGGGACCUUUUAUUCAGUGGAGAGAAGAUAAGAGUAAGCAUCAGGAGCCUGAUGAUUUUAAUCCUAAAUCUGCCAAUUGCCAGUGACACGACCUUAGGAAAGAUCAUCAACCUUUCUGGGUCUCCAUUACAUGAAGAAUCAAACAAGGAGAUUUCUCAGGAAACUUUCCAUUAUAACAUUCUUAAGGCAUCUCUGAGGAUUUAUCUCUACUGAUGCACGCCAGCAGUAUGUGGCCUUUUCUUGAACUCGUCAGAAUUGUGACUUUUCUUUGAACUCCUGGCUGCUUGGCGCUACUGACCUUGUUGCUCGUUUAUAACUCGGGUGCCAUUUAUCACUCCCAGACUUACAGAUAUUGUUGUGGAAAGAGACUGAAUGCAAUCAUUCAUGCCAUUGCCUCUUUCUCGUGGUGCCUUCCAGUUGCCUUCCUUACAGGAUAACUGAUAGGGAGAGAUUAGUGACAAAGCUGUAAUUCUAUUGAGGAAUUGUGAUGUAACUGUAUCAUAAACCAUGAAGUGAGACUCCAGAGGUUUGAGAUCACGAAUGCUGAGAUUAAGUUACAGCAGCCACAGUCAAUCUCUGUCAAUAUGUGUCUUGUGAUGGUUUGUAAUCUGCCUGUAAAAUAUUAGCUACCUGUAGAAAAUAACUUUUUUUCUGGUAUUGACUUUAUUGUAUAGCUUCUGCAAUUUUAGAGCGUAAAAGAAAUAUUGAUUUUUAUUUUUACUAAUACAUACAUUUUAGAGAGCAUUAAGAAAACUUGCUCUUUUGUUUGGUGAUACAUUUUUUUUUUUAAAUUGAGGUAGAAUUGACAUAAUGUUCUGUUAGUUUCAGGAGUACAAGGCAAUGAUUCAAUAUUGUGGUAAUACAUGUUUUAACUCUGUGAAACUUUUAGGAGGUUUCUCAUUUACCACUUGAAAUAUUUAGGUUUUAAUACUUUGAACUUUUUAUGAGCAUGUAAAAUUUUAAAAGAGAAUUUAUCGAGGUGAAAUUCACAUAGUAAAAUUAACCCUUUUAAAGUAAACAAUCCAAUGGCCUUUAGUAUGUUCACAGUAUUGCGCAAUCACCACCACCAGCUAGUUCCAAAAUACUUCCAUCACCCAAGAUCGAACCUCGUAUCCAUUCAGUGGUUUCUCCUCACUCUCCUUGUCUCCUAGCCCCAUGUGUGAAAUUUUCAAAGUGAAAAUAAAUUAAUUGACUUGAUAUAUUGUUUAUUUAACACUUAGAAG